GAUGAACGCUGGCGGCGUGCUUAACACAUGCAAGUCGAACGGGAUCCAGGCAGCUUGCUGCCUGGUGAGAGUGGCGAACGGGUGAGUAAUGCGUGACCGACCUGCCCCAUACACCGGAAUAGCUCCUGGAAACGGGUGGUAAUGCCGGAUGCUCCGACUCCUCGCAUGGGGUGUCGGGAAAGAUUUCAUCGGUAUGGGAUGGGGUCGCGUCCUAUCAGGUAGUCGGCGGGGUAACGGCCCACCGAGCCUACGACGGGUAGCCGGCCUGAGAGGGCGACCGGCCACAUUGGGACUGAGAUACGGCCCAGACUCCUACGGGAGGCAGCAGUGGGGAAUAUUGCACAAUGGGCGCAAGCCUGAUGCAGCGACGCCGCGUGCGGGAUGACGGCCUUCGGGUUGCAAACCGCUUUUGAUCGGGAGCAAGCCUUCGGG
rnacentral:rRNA from 1 species